rnacentral:snoRNA from 1 species
AUUUCUGUGAAUCGCCGUGUGCGCUGAGAAUUGAUAGGUCAGUCUGAGA